UGCCCUAGUAACGGCGAGUGAAGCGGCAACAGCUCAAAUUUGAAAUCUGGCCUCGGCCCGAGUUGUAAUUUGUAGAGGAAGCUUUUGGCGCGGCACCUUCUGAGUCCCCUGGAACGGGGCGCCAUAGAGGGUGAGAGCCCCGUAUAGUUGGAUGCCUAGCCUCUGUAAAGCUCCUUCGACGAGUCGAGUAGUUUGGGAAUGCUGCUCAAAACGGGAGGUAAAUUUCUUCUAAAGCUAAAUACCGGCCAGAGACCGAUAGCGCACAAGUAGAGUGAUCGAAAGAUGAAAAGCACUUUGAAAAGAGGGUUAAAUAGCACGUGAAAUUGUUGAAAGGGAAGCGCUUGUGACCAGACUUGCGCCGGGCUGAUCAUCCGGUGUUCUCACCGGUGCACUCUGCCCGGCUCAGGCCAGCAUCGGUUCUCGCGGGGGGAUAAAGGCCCUGGGAACGUAGCUCCUCCGGGAGUGUUAUAGCCCAGGGCGCAAUGCCCUCGCGGGGACCGAGGUUCGCGCUCUGCAAGGAUGCUGGCGUAAUGGUCACCAGCGACCCGUCUUGAAACACGGACCAAGGAGUCAAGGUUUUGCGCGAGUGUUUGGGUGUAAAACCCGCACGCGUAAUGAAAGUGAACGUAGGUGAGAGCUUCGGCGCAUCAUCGACCGAUCCUGAUGUAUUCGGAUGGAUUUGAGUAGGAGCGUUAAGCCUUGGACCCGAAAGAUGGUGAACUAUGCUUGGAUAGGGUGAAGCCAGAGGAAACUCUGGUGGAGGCUCGCAGCGGUUCUGACGUGCAAAUCGAUCGUCAAAUCUGAGCAU
rnacentral:rRNA from 2 species